UGCGAUUGAGCCAUUGAGCGAUGGGCAGGGUUAACUGGACUUUUUCUCCUGCCUUGGGGGGGGGGGGGGGGGAUGUGGAUUCUUUUAAGAAUGUGGAUAUUUGGGUCAUCUUUGGCGCCCCCUAGAACGUAAACCAUGGGGUGCAGCGCCAUGAUUUUUACAAUUUUGAAUGGCCAUGGGAUGUAGAUCGGCUUGAGCAAAUUUCGUGUCGGUGGGAAGAAAGCCUUAGGAGGAGUUAGCCACAUUCCAAUGUGUGCGAAUCGGCAAAAAAUGCGAAAUAGCCCUUUAACCGUACAUUUUACAGAUACGUGCCCAUUGACUUUUUCGUAGAUCUUAUUGAGAUACACGUGUGUGUCAAAUUUUGUGUCAUUUUGACAAAGCGUAUAGGCGUGACAGUCAACAAUGUGUUUUUUCACCUUAGGGGACAAGAAAAAAUGGACUUUUUUCUCCUGCCAUGGGGGGGCGCUCUUUUCGGGAGUUAAAAUUCCUUUACAAAUGUGUUGAUGGCUGGACAUUGCAUCAUCCUAGAAAACUUGGAGGCCAGUGAGGACAAAAAUAAAAAGUUAUAAGACUAUUAAGAAUGUGGAUUUUUGGGUUAUCUUUGGCGCCCCCUAGAACCUAAACCGUGGAGUGCAGCGUCAUGAUUUGUACAACUUUUAAUGGCCAUGGGGUGUAGAUUGGCCUGAGCAAAUUUGGUGGCGGUGGAACGAAAGCCUUAGGAGGAGUUAGCGAAAUUCCAAUGUGUGCGGAUCGGGAAAAAAUGCGAAAUAACCCUUUAACCGUACAUUUUACAGAUACGUGCCCAUUGACUUUUUCGUAGAUCUUAUUGAGAUACACGUGAUUGUCAAAUUUUGGGUCAAUAUGACAAAGUGUAUAGGCGUGACACUCAACAAUGUGUAUUUUCACCUUAGGGGACAAGAAAAAAUGGACUUUUUUCUCCUGCCAUGGGGGGCGCUCUUUUGGGGAGUAAAAAUUCCUUCACAAAUGUGUUGAUGGCUGGACAUUGCAUCAUCCUAGAGAACUUGGAGGCCAGUGAGGACAAAAAUAAAAAGUUAUAAGACUUUUAAGACUGUGGAUUUUUGGGUUAUCUUUGGCGCCCCCUAGAACGUAGACUGUGGGGUGCAGCGUCAUGAUUUGUACAACUUUUAAUGGCCAUGGGGUGUAGAUUGGCCUGAGCAAAUUUGGUGCCGGUGGAACGAAAGCCUUCGGAGGAGUUAGCGAAAUUCCAAUGUGUGCGUAUCGGCAAAAAAUGCGAAAUAGCCCUUUAACCGUACAUUUGACAGAUACGC